UACGUAGGGGGCAAGCGUUGUCCGGAAUCAUUGGGCGUAAAGAGCGUGUAGGCGGCUCGAUAAGUCCGCUCUGAAAGCCCGGGGCUCAACCCCGGGAGGCGGGUGGAUACUGUCGACCUCGAGUCCGGAAGAGGCGAGUGGAAUUCCUGGUGUAGCGGUGAAAUGCGCAGAUAUCAGGAGGAACACCAAUGGCGAAGGCAGCUCGCUGGGACGGUACUGACGCUGAGACGCGAAAGCGUGGGGAGCAAACAGG
rnacentral:rRNA from 1 species